rnacentral:rRNA from 1 species
UACGGAGAGUGCAAGCGUUGUUCGGAAUUACUGGGCGUAAAGCGCACGUAGGCGGUCUUGUAAGUCUGGUGUGAAAGCCCGGGGCUCAACCCUGGAAGUGCAUUGGAUACUGCAGGACUCGAGUACUGGAGGGGGAGGCGGAAUUCCGAGUGUAGAGGUGAAAUUCGUAGAUAUUCGGAGGAACACCAGUGGCGAAGGCGGCCUCCUGGACAGAUACUGACGCUGAGGUGCGAAAGCGUGGGGAGCAAACAGG